rnacentral:ncRNA from 2 species
UGUAGGUGAACCUGCGGA